AAGAAACCAACAGGGAUUGCCUUAGUAGCGGCGAGUGAAGCGGCAAAAGCUCAAAUUUGAAAUCUGGCACUUUCAGUGUCCGAGUUGUAAUUUGAAGAAGGUAUCUUUGGGUCUGGCUCUUGUCUAUGUUUCUUGGAACAGAACGUCACAGAGGGUGAGAAUCCCGUGCGAUGAGAUGUCCCAGACCUAUGUAAAGUUCCUUCGAAGAGUCGAGUUGUUUGGGAAUGCAGCUCUAAGUGGGUGGUAAAUUCCAUCUAAAGCUAAAUAUUGGCGAGAGACCGAUAGCGAACAAGUACAGUGAUGGAAAGAUGAAAAGAACUUUGAAAAGAGAGUGAAAAAGUACGUGAAAUUGUUGAAAGGGAAGGGCUUGAGAUCAGACUUGGUAUUUUGUAUGUUACUCUCUCGGGGGUGGCCUCUACAGUUUACCGGGCCAGCAUCAGUUUGAGCGGUAGGAUAAGUGCAAAGAAAUGUGGCACUGCUUCGGUAGUGUGUUAUAGUCUUUGUCGAUACUGCCAGCUUAGACUGAGGACUGCGGCUUCGGCCUAGGAUGUUGGCAUAAUGAUCUUAAGUCGCCC
rnacentral:rRNA from 1 species